GNCUUUNGCUGGCGCCGUGCUUAACACAUGCAAGUGGUGCNACGAACCAAGGGCUUGCCCUGGGGCAAAGCCGCGAACGGGUGAGUAACACGUGAGUAAUCUGCCCCGAUGACCGGGACAACCCGAGGAAACUCGGGCUAAUACCGGAUGAUGAGCCUAGGCGNNAAGCCUUGUCUCUAAAGGAAGCUUCGGCCUCCGCAUCGGGAGGAGCUCGCGGCCCAUUAGCUUGUUGGUGGGGUAACGGCCUACCAAGGCGACGAUGGGUAGCUGGUCUGAGAGGACGAUCAGCCACACUGGGACUGAGACACGGCCCAGACUCCUACGGGAGGCAGCAGUGGGGAAUCUUGCGCAAUGCGCGAAAGCGUGACGCAGCAACGCCGCGUGGGGGAAGACGGCCUUCGGGUUGUAAACCCCUUUCAAGAGGGACGAAGGUUCGCCGGUGAAUAGCCGUGCGGAUUGACGGUACCUCCACAAGAAGCUCCGGCUAACUACGUGCCAGCAGCCGCGGUAAUACGUANGGAGCAAGCGUUGUCCGGAAUCAUUGGGCGUAAAGCGCGCGUAGGUGGCUUYGUAAGUCCGUUGUGAAAGUCAAAGGCUCAMCCUUURAAASCCGAUGGAUACUGCGGAGCUAGAGUACNGNAAGAGGCGAGUGGAAUUCYUGGUGUAGCGGUGRAAUGCGCAGAUAUCAGGAGGAMCMCCAAUAGCGAAGGCAGCUCGCUGGGNACGUUACUGACACUGAGGCGCGAAAGCGUGGGGAGCGAACAGGAWUARAUACCCUGGUAGUCCMCGCCGUAAACCAUGGGUANUAGGUGUGGGAGGUGUCGANUCNUCCCGUGCCGUCGNUAACGCAUUAAGUACCCCGCNUGGGGAGUACGCCCNCAAGGUUAAAACUCAAAGNAAUUGACGGGGGCCCGCNCAANCAGCGGAGCAUGUGGUUUAAUUCGACGCAACGCNAAGANCCUUACNUGGGCUUGACAUGUUGGUGNCCNCCGUGGAAACACGGUUUUCUUUCGGGACNCCAUCACAGGUGGUGCAUGGCUGUCGUCAGNUCGUGUCGUNANAUGUUGGGUUAAGUCCCGCAACGAGCGCAACCCCCGUCUUAUGUUGCCAGCAUUAAGUUGGGGANUCAUAGGAGACUGCCGGUGACAAACCGNAGNAAGGUGGGGAUGACGUCAAGUCAUCAUGCCCCUUAUGUCCAGGGCUACACACGUGNUACAUUGGNGCAUACAAAGGGCAGCAAUNCCGCGAGGUGGAGCAAAUNCCCAUAAAGUGCGCUCUCGGUUCGGAUUGNAGGNUGAAACUCGCCUCCCAUNAAGGUGGAGUUGUUAGUAAUCGCAGUUCNAGCAAUGUGGGUUNAANAGNAACCG
rnacentral:rRNA from 1 species